AGCUGGAAGGGCCGAGAAUAGCGAGCAGCUAGGCUGAUAUAGCCAUGGCGCCGCCUCCUGCCUCGGGGAGGAACUGAAUUCUGUCCCAGCAUACUUUUUUAAGCUUGGUUCCUUUCUUAGUUCUUAAAACAAUGAUUGAGCGCCAACUAACUUCUGGGCGGUAUUUUGGUUGCUAAGGAGAGAUCACCAAGCUAUCCCUGCCCUCAAGGAACUAAAGAGAAACUGAAAUAUGUUCAGCAGUUGUCUUAUUUAACAUGGAACUUGCCACGGCAGCUGGAUUGGAUGGCUAGCAUAGCCUAGGGAUCCUACUGGGUCUGCUCCCUCAGCACUGAAGUAACAGGAAUACACCCUUUCUUCAUUAGAUCUGAAUUCAGGCUUCUGGGAUCAUGGCUUGUGAACAUCGCCUGAGUUUCUCAGCAGCAUUUGACCACAGGUGGCAAUGAUGCGUCUUCUUGGCUUGCAGAAUCCUUUGUCCAGCUCCGUAGUGUGCUAAGAGUGUGGAACUUUCCCUCCAAUGCAGAAGUGGGGAGCUAUUUUUUGAUAGUUGUGCCUGUCUGCUCAAUUGAUGUCAGUGGAGUUUGAAAGGUACCCUCAGAGCAUGGGUUGUCCUGAUGUCCUUCGUAUUCUGAUGUUAAUUCUGCUCCCUCAAAAGAGCUUGCCCCCACUUCCCCGAAAGGAGCAGUCUAUCACAUCCAUCACUGUUCAUCCAUCAUCACGGCUCGGCUCUCACGUACUCAGGUGAUCUCAUGGGAGUCUUCUCCCCAUUUAAACCAGUCAAUAAAGGUGGUGGAGGGGAAAGGUGGAACUAGAGGUUUUACAGAUGGAAGGAGAGGGAAGAGGAGGAGAGGGGAAGAAGAAAGGACUGAAGAAGAGGAGAAGGAAGCCAUGAUGGACUGGAACCACAUGCCCAGCAAUAAGCCAUCGAAAUCUUUUUUCCCAACUUCUCUUUCUCCCCAAGAGGGCCACUUAGAGGAGCGUGAAGACAAGUGAAGACAUGUAUGUAUGUGCACCAUGUGCACUCUGGUGUUGGCUAAGCUGUUAGAAGAAGACAUCCCAUUCACCCGGAUCUGGAGUUCCUGACAGUGGUUAGACACCAGUUCCAUUGAAGACAGUGCUACCCAAGUGAGCAUUCCAAAUCAUGUUUAAAGAGAGGUAAGAGAUAUGCUGCAGAGUCCAAAGAACAAGGUGGCUGUGGCUCAGAUGGCUUUACGUCUUUCAAGAACCAAGACCCCUGUUUGCUACAGCUCUGCUGUGCAAGCCCUGAGCACAACGCAGCUUUCUCUGACACACCAUCCCACAGGGACUUUCUCACCUAUACAGUGUUCUCAUGUCAAACAAGAUCAUUGUACAAGGUCUUUGUUACAUUGAACCCUGAAUUUAUUCAGUUAUGUUAAGUGCAAUAAAAUACCUGGGUUUUGUACUUGC
rnacentral:lncRNA from 1 species